UUGUAGUGAAUUAGGGGGAAUUCACAAAAUAUUCUGGAUGAAAAUGUGUCCAUCAGACUCAAACCAAAGAUACAAAUGAUCACUGACACAUUCCUGAUCAAUACUCUGAUAAAGUGAUUGAUCCAUUGAUAUACAGCUUCAUCAGAGUAAUCCAAGUCCCUGUUGGAGUCAGUCAGAGCAUUUCCAUAGAGAGCCACUUUGCAUCAGCAGCACCAUGCUCCAGUGCUCUGGGAGAGUUUAUAGUCCUGAGAGUUGAACACUGGAUGACUGACAGCUGUCCUUCAUCACAACAGAAGCCACAGAAAUCCUCCUCAUCAAAAACAUGACUGUGAUCUCCGUCCUCAUCUGGACUCUUCUCUGCUGCUGCUUCACAGAGUCCAGAGGUCAGGUCACAGUGACUCAGUCUGGAGCAGUGAGCUCUGCUCUGGGGCGCUCCGUCUCCAUCACAUGUAAAACCAGUCAGGAUAUUUACUCAAGCUAUUUAGCCUGGUACCAACAGAAAGAUGGAGAAACUCCUAAACUGCUUAUUUACUAUACUAGCACUCGAGCAUCAGGGAUUCCAGAUCGUUUUACCGGCAGUGGAUCAAACUCUGACUUCACUCUGACCAUCAGUGGAGUCCAGACUGAAGAUGCAGCAGUUUACUACUGUCAGAGUUUUCAUUACCCAAACAGUCAGCAUGUGUGGACUUUUGGUGGAGGAACCAGACUGGAUGUUGGAAGUGAUGUCCGUCCCACCCUGACGGUGCUGCCCCCCUCCAGUGAGGAGCUGCAGCAGGGGAAGGCCACGCUCAUGUGCCUGGCCAACAAGGGCUUCCCCUCAGACUGGAGUCUGGCCUGGAAGGUGGACGGCAGCAGCAGCAGCAGCAGCAUCAGCUGGGAGGAGAGCAGGAGCCCCGGGGUGCUGGAGAAGGACGGCCACUAAAGCUGGAGCAGCACCCGGAGGCUCCCUGCAGACCAGUGGAGGAAGGUGGGCUCUGUGACCUGUGAGGCCACCCAGGGCUCCCAGACUCCGCUCUCAGAGACACUGAGGAGAGACCAGUGUUCCCAGUCCUGACAUGAUUCACUGGUACUCUGCUACUGGUUUCACUCUGAUACUGCUCUAUGUCUGCUCUCUCUCUCUGGUUCAUGUUUCAACAUUAAUGUGUCCUUGCUUGUCCUGAUGUUUUCAACAUUUUAAAACAAUAAAGAUUUUAUCAUUUGUAUUAUUAAAGUGACAUGUCUUUUAAUUUCUUCUUUCCUUUCUUUUUAAGGAUUAGAAAUAUAAAGCAGGGUAUCAUCUGCAUAAAGUAAUAUAACACGCAUGUAAUUUGCGAUUUGACAGCAAAUAUAAUAUAAAUGAGACGGUACUACUUCACUUAAAGGCUCAAAAGCGAGGACAGCACAGUCUCUCUGUCUUCCUCUCUGUCAGCAGAAUUAACAUUUCUUGCAUUAACACUGAUAUUGUAUGAACACAACAAAGACUUCUUCAUCAAAUCAACUGUGCUCAUGUAUUUUAUAAACGUAUACCUGUGGGCAUUUGUUUCUGUCUUCAAUUAAAACAGUGGAUCCAUUUAAUCCAAAAACACUGAGCUUGUCUCAGGAUCAGAUUGAGAAAAUGUGUUUUUGCAUAUACUUUACAUACAUGCAUAUUUAUGUAGAUAUAUUGUUGUUACACCAAGUGGGUAGUUCAUAUCUUUUGCAUUUUAUGUUGCUAGUUGAUGAGCUUUUCUUUUGAUAACAUAAGUGUUUAUAUUUCAAAUAGCAUUUUCGGAAUUUGAGGGAUGUUCAGGUUUUGUCUGGGAAUGGGAAUUAUGAAGAUUUCUGUGUCUUCAUAUUUUCUUUCAACUAGAUUUAGUUGAUAUCACUGCGAUCCAGCAUGAAGUUGAGGUCAAACAAACACAUAACUUUCACCCAGUAGUUGUAUGGGAAUGUAUUUUGUGGGAGACAGGGUUGCA